AACGAACGCUGGCGGCGUGGAUAAGACAUGCAAGUCGAACGGAAUAAUUUGGUAGCAAUAUUAACUUAUUCAGUGGCGAACGGGUGCGUAACACGUGGAUACAUGCCGGGAAGCGAGGGAUAGCCCAGGGAAACUUGGAUUAAUACCUCCUGUGGUCGCAACACUAAAGGCGGGGUAACCUGCCGCUUCCUGAUUGGUCCGCGGCCUAUCAGCUUGUUGGUGCGGUAAUGGCUCACCAAGGCUAUGACGGGUAGCUGGUCUGGGAGGAUGACCAGCCACACUGGAACUGAGACACGGUCCAGACACCUACGGGUGGCAGCAGUCGAGAAUCUUUCACAAUGGGGGCAACCCUGAUGGAGCGACGCCGCGUGGAGGAUAAGGUCUUCGGAUUGUAAACUCCUGUCAUGCGAGAGCAAGACUUGCAGGCUAACUCCUGCAAGUUUGAUAGUAUCGCAAGAGGAAGAGACGGCUAACUCUGUGCCAGCCGCCGCGGUAACAC
rnacentral:rRNA from 1 species